AUAGAGGUGGGCCUUUGGCGAGUCACAGGCGCGGGUGUUCGGCUACGUCACUGGGGCGCUACGGUGCCUGGAGCUGGGCAGUCUUCUCGUCAGAGUGGGGACUGGUAAGAGCGACCUCACCGCCAGGUCCUGUGUGUUGCCGGCUGAAGAAGGGUAGCUGAAAAAUUCAGACCCAGCACAGUGUUUAUGUUGGUCAAAAAUAGAAAACUAUGUCUGCCGCGGCCGAGGCAGGAGGACCCUUCAGGCCAAGAGCAGCCUAGCAACAUGGCGCAACCCCAUCUCUGUAGUCCUACCUCAGCCCCCCAGCUACUUGAACCCAAAGGUUCAAGGCUCCAGUGAGCUAUGAUCCCACCACAGCAUUCCAGCCUGCGAGAUUGAGGCCCUCACAAUCCAGUGGAGGAGACGAAACUCAUCUGCCUCUGUCCCUCUGGGCACGCCUCAUGCCAGGUGCAUCUGUGGACAGGGGCCAUGCUCCUGGGCUUCCAAAGUUGGAGAAAGCUGCCAGGCUCAGGUCUGAAGGCCAGAAUUCUACAGUAAGUCCUACUGAGUCAAGGUGGGAGCAGGGUCGGUGGCUUCCGAGGCUCUGCGGGAGAAUCCGUUUCCUGGCCGUAGAGGUGGCCUGCACUCCUCAGCUUGUGCUGCCCGUCUCGAAUGACUGGAGUUUCCUGCUUCUGUCACUACACCUCCCACCCUCUCCAUCACCUGCUCUGCUCUUAUAAGGAUCCGAAGAAAUGGAAUCAUCGUAUCGCUGAUCUGCGUAAACAAAUUGAAGAAUUGUCUGAAAGAAAAUAUGACAUGAACUUAUGAAUUCAACAGGUAAAGAUUUACAACUUGAUAAAUCAACUUUGUGAGCUCGAGCUGUAAAAGCCAAAGGUCCAGUGAUGAUCCCAUACCCUUUUGUCCAGUCUCAUGUUGAAGAUUUUUAUGUAGAAGGCCUUCCCAAAGGAAUUUUUUUUUUUUUUUUGAGAUGGAGUUUUCACUCUUAUCGCCCAGGCUGGGGUGCAAUGGCGCAACCUUGCUGGUCACUGCAACCUCUGCCUCCUGGGUUCAAGAAAUUCUCUUGCCUUAGCCUCCCAAGUUGCUGGGAUUACAGGUGCCCACCACCACACCAGGCUAAUUUUUGUAUUUUUAGUGGAGAUGGGGUUUCACCAUGUUGGCCGGGCCAGUCUCGAACUCCUGACGUCAAGUGAUCUUCCCGCCUCGACUCCUGACAUCAAGUGAUCUUCCCACCUCGGCCUCCAAGAGUGCUGAGAUUACAGAUGUGAACCCAUGCCUGGCCAGGAAUUUUGUUUUUUAGGAAGGCUUUCUACUAAUGGAAUUCCUGGCCUUGAGAGGAUGUUACUUUCGAAGGAAAGGAUUUUUUUGUUAUUAAAAGAGCCACCUAAGCUGAAGAUUCCCUUGAGAACAAGUACUGUCCUGCGGUUUCAUGGCCUUUCUUCCAUUUGUGGUUCUUGUGAAGUGGAAUUUAAAUGACAUCAAGAUGGAUAAACCCUAGUUUCCCAGUGCUGGAAUAUAGAAAAUGGAUGGACAAGUAAAUCCCACUCAGCACCCAUAGUCCAGGCAUGGGGAUCUCAACACACCUGAGCCCCAGACAUCACCUUUCAUUCUGGACCUACCAUGAAAGACUUCUGAAUCCAGGAAGAGAAACUGACUGGGCAACAUGUUAUUCAGGUACAAAAAGACUUGGACUGUAACUCAAAAAUGAUCAAAUAAUAGUGCAUGCAUCAAGUGCAAUGGGAAGCUCUUCUGGAGAGGGAGAGAAGCUUCCAGUUAAGGUGACAUUGAAGCCAAGUCCUGUAAGAUAAGGAAGAAUUGUAUGAGAGUGGGGAGGGAAGGGGGAGGUGGAGGGAUGGGGAUUGGGCUGGGAUGGGAUGGAGUGAGCUGCCCAGGCAGGGAAACCAGCACUAUACAGACCUGAACAAUGAAGAUGGCACAUUUUGUUCAGGGAAUGGUGAAUUAAGUGUAGCAGAAAUGCUUUGUAGAGACAGUAAUUUACUUGUAUGGAAUUUUGCCCAAGAGACCUCAUUACAGUUUCUAAUUUUUUGAUGUUAUCAUGCAUCACUGCCCUUGUCAGAUAGUAUCAUGAUCACAGUAACAUCAAGCAUAAUAUUUCAUUGAUUCUCACAAAAACAGGUGGGUGCCACAGUUAUCCCCAUUAUAUGCACAAAAUGAUGAAGACUUGGGGUUAAUGAGUGAUUUGCCCAAGCUCACCUGAAUAUUAAGACUGAAUCAAAUGUUAGUCUGGUCUGACUUUAAUGCUUGCCUUGUUCAUGAGCACCAUGCAUUGCCUCUCCUAUGCAGUUAAGCAGUUAGACAGGUGAGAGAAGAGCCCGUGUGAUAUCGGGGGAAAUUCACCCCUGAUAUUUCAUGUAGGUUCUUUUCUGUUUUCCCUGAGUGUCGGCCGAUCUGAGAAAUAAAGGGAAAGAGUACAAAAGAGAGAAAUUUUAAAGCUGGGUGUCCAGGGGAGACAUCACAUGUCGGCAGGUUCCGUGAUGCCCCGCAAGCUGCAAAACCAACAAGUUUUUAUUAGUGAUUUUCAAAAGGGGAGGGAGUGUACGAAUAGGGUGUGGGUCACAGAGAUCACUUGCUUCACAAGGUAAUAAAAUAUCACAAGGCAAAUGGAGGCAGGGCAAGAUCACAGGACCACAGGACCGGGGCGAAAUUAAAAUUGCUAAUGAAGUUUCGGGCACGCAUUGUCAUUGGUAACAUCUUAGGAGAAAGGGUUUGAGAGCAGAAAACCCAUCUGACCAAAAUUUAUUAGGCGGGAAUUUCCUUGUCCUGAUAAGCCUGGGAGUGCCACGCAAGCCCAGGGCUUAUUUCAUCCCUUAUCUACGACUGUAAAAGACAGCCGUCCCCAAAGCGGCCAUUUCAGAGGCCUCCCCUUAGGGAUGCAUUCUCUUUCUCAGGGAUGUUCUUUGCUGAGAAAAAGAAUUCAGCAAUAUUUCUCCUAUUUGCUUUUGAAAGAAGAGAAAUAUGGCUCUGUUCUACUCGGCCCACAGGCAGCCAAAGUUUAAGGUUAUCUCCCUUGUUCCCUGAAAUUGCUGUUAUCCUGUUCUUUAUUCAAGGUGCCCAGGUUUCAUAUUGUUUAAACAACUUGUGCAGUUAACGCAAUUAUCACAGAGUCCUGCGGGGACAUUCAUCCUCAGCUUACGAAGAUGACCAGAUUAAGAAAUUAAAGUAAGACAGGCAUAGGAAAUCACAAGGGUAUUGAUUGGGGAAGUGAUAAGUGUCCAUGAAAUCUUCACAAUUUAUGUUCAGAGAUUGCAGUAAAGACAGGCCUAAGAAAUUAUAGAAGUAUUAAUUUGGGGAACUAAUAAAUGUCCAUGAAAUCUUCACAAUUUAUGUUCUUCUGCCGUGGCUUCAGCCGGUCCCUCCGUUUGGGGUCCCUGACUUCCCGCAACACGUUUUUCUCUACUCACAGGCUUCUGACCAAAUGUGUGUGCAGAGUUUCUACACCAGUUCUCCAACUCUCUGGAUACCAACCGCGUAUCCCACAAUUCCAUUCUGACACUACCUAGAGUUAGCGCAGAACCCACAGGUUAGGGGCUCAGUCCCACAAGACCACCCUCACUUCAGAUGCCAGUUGCAAGUCCUAGGUUGUCACCUGUAUUUUGACCAACCAGUUAGAAAUCAGGGUUUCCCAUGACCCUCUUCUUGAGUUUAAUUAUUUACUAGAACAACUCACGGAACUUAGAAAAACAGGUUUUUUUCUUUUCUUUUUAAGAGACAGGGCCUCGCUCUGUUGUCCAGGCUGGUGUGCAGUGGUGCAAUCAUAGCUCAUUGAAGCCUCAACCUCCAGGGCUCAA